rnacentral:rRNA from 1 species
AUUGAACGCUGGCGGAAUGCUUUACACAUGCAAGUCGAACGGCAGCACGGACUUCGGUCUGGUGGCGAGUGGCGAACGGGUGAGUAAUGUAUCGGAACGUGCCCAGUCGGGGGGGAUAACGUAGUGAAAAUUACGCUAAUACCGCAUACGAUCUAUGAAGGAAAGCGGGGGAUCGCAAGACCUCGCGCGAUUGGAGCGGCCGAGAUCAGAUUAGGUAAUUGGUGGGGUAAAGGCCCACCAAGCCAACGAUCUGUAGCUGGUCUGAGAGGGCGACCAGCCACACUGGAACUGAGACACGGUCCAGACUCCUACGGGAGGCAGCAGUGGGGAAUUUUGGACAAUGGGCGAAAGCCUGAUCCAGCCAUUCCGCGUGCAGGAUGAAGGCCCUCGGGUUGUAAACUGCUUUUGUACAGAACGAAAAGGUUUCUACUAAUACUAGGAGCUCAUGACGGUACUGUAAGAAUAAGCACCGGCUAACUACGUGCCAGCCGCCGCCGUAA